UUUCCGUAGGUGAACCUGCGGAAGGAUCAUUAACGAGUAAAGUCCUUCGGGACUUUCUUAUCCAAACACCUGUGAAAAUUGAUUUUUGCUUUGGGAAUUUAAUUAUUCCCAACAAUCAAAACCACUAAGUUGUCUUUUGUCUGAGUGAUUAUUUAAAAUCAAAACUUUCAACAACGGAUCUCUUGGUUCUC
rnacentral:misc_RNA from 1 species